CCUACGGGUGGCAGCAGUGAGGAAUAUUGGUCAAUGGUCGGGAGACUGAACCAGCCAAGCCGCGUGAGGGAUGAAGGUACAGAGUAUCGUAAACCUCUUUUGUCAGGGAACAAAGACGGGGACGUGUCCCCGGAUGAGUGUACCUGACGAAAAAGCAUCGGCUAACUCCGUGCCAGCAGCCGCGGUAAUACGGAGGAGGCGAGCGUUAUCCGGAUUUAUUGGGUGAAAGGGGUGCGCGGGCGGUCUGUUAAGUCAGCGUGCAAAGCCGGGGGCGCAACCCCGGCCCGCCGUUGAAACUGGCAGUCUCGAGUUGGAGAGAAGUAUGCGGAAUGCGCGGUGUAGCGGUGAAAUGCAUAGAUAUCGCGCAGAACUCCGAUUGCGAAGGCAGCAUGCCGGCUCCACACUGACGCUGAGGCACGAAAGCGUGGGUAUCGAACAGGAUUAGAUACCCGGGUAGUC
rnacentral:rRNA from 1 species